rnacentral:rRNA from 1 species
UACGGAGGGUGCAAGCGUUGUCCGGAUUUAUUGGGUUAAAGGGUGCGUAGGCGGCCCGGUAAGUCAGUGGUGAAGACCUCCAGCUCAACUGGAGAACUGCCAUUGAUACUGCCGGGCUUGAGUACAGACGAGGUUGGCGGAAUUGAUUGUGUAGCGGUGAAAUGCAUAGAUACCAUCAAGAACACCGAUUGCGUAGGCAGCUUACUAGGCUGUAACUGACGCUGAGGCACGAAAGCGUGGGGAGCGAACAGG